AACCCAUGAUUUGGGGAUUUUCUCAAUAUCAUCUUAAAUAUUUCCUAUGUCUCACGGAAGACUUCAUUUGCCCCUUGUCUGAACAUAGAGAUUUCAGACCUGGCUU
rnacentral:snoRNA from 1 species